rnacentral:rRNA from 1 species
UACGUAGGGGGCAAGCGUUGUCCGGAAUCAUUGGGCGUAAAGCGCGUGUAGGCGCUUGGUAAGUCCGUUCUGAAAGCCCCGGGGCUCAACCCCCGGGAGGCGGAUGGAUACGUGUCAAGCUUGAGUCCGGAAGAGGCGAGUGGAAUUCCCGGUGUAGCGGUGAAAUGCGCAGAUAUCGGGAGGAACACCAAUGGCGAAGGCAGCUCGCUGGGACGUGACUGACGCUGAGACGCGAAGCGUGGGGAGCAAACAGGG